UACGAACUGUGCAAACGUUAUUCGGAAUCACUGGGCUUAAAGGGUGCGUAGGUGGGCUGGUAAGUCAGUGGUGAAAUCUCCAGGCUUAACUUGGAAACUGCCAUUGAUACUAUCAGUCUUGAAUACCGUGGAGGUCAGCGGAAUAUGUCAUGUAGCGGUGAAAUGCUUAGAUAUGACAUAGAACACCAAUUGCGAAGGCAGCUGGCUACACGAAUAUUGACACUGAUGCACGAAAGCGUGGGGAUCAAACAGG
rnacentral:rRNA from 1 species